rfam:Candidatus Atelocyanobacterium thalassa isolate ALOHA, complete genome.
GGGGCCGCAACGGCUUCGACAGGUUAGUGAACUCUGAAUUGUGAUACAGGUCGAGAGUGAGUUUCCUCUCGUAAAUCAAAAACUCAAAAAAAAUAGUAACUGCGAACAACAUCGUAAGCUUCAAGCGCGUGGCAGUAGCUGCCUAAAAAUUCUUUUACAGAAUUCGCUUAUCUCAUACUUGACUCCGUUAAAAGUAAGAGAUCAACCUUAAACGGAUAUUCUUAAUAGCUGCCUCUGAUUGACUAUUAAGUAAAAAUUUAUCAGAGUAACCUUUUUACUCAGGUAUAAGAGUAAAUCCUGCCUUAAGGAAUAAUAGGCUAAGCCUGUGAAUGAGCUUUAAGUUAAUAGCUAAUUUGGACAGCAGUUCAACUCUGCUCGGCUCCAUCA